rnacentral:rRNA from 1 species
AGAACGAACGCUGGCGGCAUGCCUAACACAUGCAAGUCGAACGAGACCUUCGGGUCUAGUGGCGCACGGGUGCGUAACGCGUGGGAAUCUGCCCUUGGGUACGGAAUAACAGUUAGAAAUGACUGCUAAUACCGUAUAAUGACUUCGGUACCAAAGAUUUAUCGCCCAGGGAUGAGCCCGCGUAGGAUUAGCUUGUUGGUGAGGUAAAGCUCACCGAAGGCGACGAUCCUUAGCUGUCUGAGAGGAUGAUCAGCCACACUGGGACUGAGACGACGGCCCAGACUCCGUACGGAGGCAGCGAGUGGGUAAUAGUUGACAAGUGGGACGAAACGUCCUAGACUCCAG